rnacentral:misc_RNA from 1 species
UCGAUUCUCCUUUGAAGGAGGUUUGGGCUGUGCUGGCCUUUCCGAAGGCAUGUGCACGUCCUCACAUCCGUACCCAUACACCUGUGCACCUGUUGUAGGUCUCGCAAGGGAUCUAUGUUAUCUUUGAUAAACACCUUGAUGUAUGUCCUUAGAAUGUCCUUAUGAUUGUCUUUGCCGCUUGAUUUAUUUUGAGUGGUGGAGAUGAAAUAUAUUA